CUACGGGCGGCUCCAGUGAGGAAUAUUGCACAAUGGGGGGAACCCUGAUGCAGCAACGCCGCGUGGAGGAUGACGCAUUUCGGUGUGUAAACUCCUUCUAUAUGUCAAGAAAAUGACGGUAGCAUAUGAAUAAGCACCGGCUAACUCCGUGCCAGCAGCCGCGGUAAUACGGAGGGUGCAAGCGUUACUCGGAAUCACUGGGCGUAAAGGGCGCGUAGGCGGGUUGGAAAGUCAGGUGUGAAAUCCUACAGCUUAACUGUAGAACUGCACUUGAAACUUCUAAUCUAGAGUAUGGGAGGGGGAGAUGGAAUUAGUGGUGUAGGGGUAAAAUCCGUAGAUAUCACUAGGAAUACCUAAAGCGAAGGCGAUCUCCUGGAACAUUACUGACGCUAAGGCGUGAAAGCGUGGGGAGCAAACAGGAUUAGAUACCCGCGUAGUC
rnacentral:rRNA from 1 species